CUUUAAAAACCCCCGCCGGGGUCCCACCAUGGCACCGCAUCCCUUCCCCUGACCCUCUUCUCCUCUUCACCAUGGCCUUCUCCUCGGCUUCCACCAUCCUCCUCCUCCUCCUGGCAGCCCUCCCAGGGCUGCGGGCGGCCGUGCAGCUGGUCGAGUCCGGAGGGGGCCUCCAGCCACCCGGGGGGUCCCUCACCCUCCUCUGCAAGGCCUCUGGCUUCACCUUCAGCAGCUACGACAUGAGUUGGGUGCGACAGGCGCCCGGGAAAGGUCUCGAGUGGGUCGCGGGUAUUGACGACGAUGGUAGAAACCCAAGCUACGCGUCGGCGGUGCAAGGGCGCUUCACCAUCUCCAGGGACAACUCCCAGAGCACGCUCAAGCUGCAGAUGAACAGCCUCAGGGCCGACGACACGGCCACCUACUACUGCGCGAAAGCUGCUCACGGCGACGCCGAGGCGGCGAGCGGCUCGCCAAAAAAAAACACCCCCACCACCCCGCCACCCAACCCUUGACGGCUCGGCCCGUUG